rnacentral:ribozyme from 1 species
UGUCCAGCAACUACUAUCCCUACCUCCUUGUGGUACUGACCGGGGUACGAGAACCUUAUGGAAGAUCGAGUAACCAACCCCGGUGGGAACUCUGGUCGAAUGCUGACAGGGAAGG